rnacentral:rRNA from 1 species
UACGUAGGGUGCGAGCGUUAAUCGGAAUUACUGGGCGUAAAGCGUGCGCAGGCGGCUUUGCAAGACAGAUGUGAAAUCCCCGGGCUCAACCUGGGUACUGCAUUUGUGACUGCAAGGCUAGAGUACGGCAGAGGGGGAUGGAAUUCCGCGUGUAGCAGUGAAAUGCGUAGAUAUGCGGAGGAACACCAAUGGCGAAGGCAAUCCCCUGGGCCUGUACUGACGCUCAUGCACGAAAGCGUGGGGAGCAAACAGG